GCUUUGUAAGUAAGUAACGGGCUAACUGCCCUCCGAAGGCAGGGGUUGCUGGUUCGAUCCCAGCCGGGCGCGCCA
rnacentral:tRNA from 1 species